rnacentral:rRNA from 1 species
UACGAAGGGGGCGAGCGUUGUUCGGAUUUACUGGGCGUAAAGGGCGCGUAGGCGGCCUUCUAAGUCGAACGUGAAAUCCCCGGGCUCAACCUGGGAAUUGCGAUGGAGACUGCAAGGCUAGAAUCUGGCAGAGGGGGGUAGAAUUCCACGUGUAGCAGUGAAAUGCGUAGAGAUGUGGAGGAACACCGGAUGGCGCAAGGCAGCCCCCUGGGUCAAGAUUGACGCUCAUGCACGAAAGGCGUGGGGAGCAAACAGG